rnacentral:rRNA from 1 species
UAGUCCACGCCGUAAACGAUGAGUACUAGUUAUUGGAGGUAUUGACUCCUUCAGUGACGUAGCUAACGCAUUAAGUACUCCGCCUGGGAAGUACGGUCGCAAGACUAAAACUCAAAGGAAUUGACGGGGGCCCGCACAAGCGGUGGAUUAUGUGGUUUAAUUCGAAGCAACGCGCAGAACCUUACCUAGGCUUGAAAUCCUACGAAUCCGAUGUAAUUGUUGGAGUGCCCGCAAGGGAAUGUAGUGACAGGUGCUGCAUGGCUGUCGUCAGCUCGUGUUGUGAAAUGUUGGGUUAAGUCUCGCAACGAGCGCAACCCCUAUCUUUAGUUGCCAGCAUUAAGUUGGGCACGUCUAGAGAGACUGCCCGGGUUAACCGGGAGGAAGGUGGGGAUGACGUCAAGUCCUCAUGGGCCCUUAUGCCUAGGGGCUACACACGUAAUACAAUGGGUACAUACAGAGGGACGCGACCCGGGUGACGGUUAGCAAAUCUCAAAAAGUGUAUCUCAGUCCGGGAUUGGGAGUCUGC